rnacentral:rRNA from 1 species
GAUGAACGCUGGCGGCGUGCCUAAUACAUGCAAGUCGAGCGAACAGACGAGGAGCUUGCUCCUCUGACGUUAGCGGCGGACGGGUGAGUAACACGUGGAUAACCUACCUAUAAGACUGGGAUAACUUCGGGAAACCGGAGCUAAUACCGGAUAAUAUAUUGAACCGCAUGGUUCAAUAGUGAAAGACGGUUUUGCUGUCACUUAUAGAUGGAUCCGCGCCGCAUUAGCUAGUUGGUAAGGUAACGGCUUACCAAGGCAACGAUGCGUAGCCGACCUGAGAGGGUGAUCGGCCACACAGGAACUGAGACACGGUCCAGACUCCUACGGGAGGCAGCAGUAGGGAAUCUUCCGCAAUGGGCGAAAGCCUGACGGAGCAACGCCGCGUGAGUGAUGAAGGUCUUCGGAUCGUAAAACUCUGUUAUUAGGGAAGAACAAAUGUGUAAGUAACUAUGCACGUCUUGACGGUACCUAAUCAGAAAGCCACGGCUAACUACGU